rnacentral:rRNA from 1 species
AACGAACGCUGGCGGCGCGUCUUAAGCAUGCAAGUCGAGCGGCAAGGGUAGCAAUACCCCUAGAGCGGCGGACUGGUGAGUACACGUGGGUGAUCUACCUUUAGGUUGGGGAUAGCCAUUAGAAAUAGUGGGUAAUACCGAAUGUGGUUGGAGGACCUUGGUCCACCAAAGAAAGGAGCUACGGCUCCGCCUGAAGAUGAGCCCGCGUCCCAUUAGCUAGUUGGGGGUGUAACGGACCACCAAGGCGAUGAUGGGUAGCCGGCCUGAGAGGGGAAACGGCCACACUGGGACGGAGAGACGGCCCAGACUCCUACGGGAGUCAGCAGCUAAGAAUAUUCCGCAAUGGACGAAAGUCUGACGGAGCGACGCCGCGUGGAUGACGAAGGCCGAAAGGUUGUAAAGUCCUUUUGUCGACGAAGAAUAAGUGGGGGAGGGAAUGCCCUCAUGAUGACGUUAGUCGGCGAAUAAGCCCCGGCUAAUUACGUGCCAGCAGCCGCGGUAAGAC